rnacentral:rRNA from 1 species
GACGAACGCUGGAGGCGUGCCUAAUACAUGCAAGUAGAACGAAUGGCGGACGGGGGAGUAAUGUCUGGGAAACUGCCCGAUGGAGGGGGAUAACUACUGGAAACGGUAGCUAAUACCGCAUACCAUCGGAUGUGCCCAGAUUGGAUUAGCUAGUAGGUGGGGUAACGGCUCACCUAGGCGACGAUCCCUAGCUGGUCUGAGCGGAUGACCAGCCACACUGGAACUGAGACACGGGCCAGACUCCUACGGGAGGCAGCAGUGGGUAAUAUUGCACAAUGGGCGCAAGCCUGAUGCAGCCAUGCCGCGUGUAUGAAGAAGGCCUUCGGGUUGUAAAGUACUUUCAGCGAGGAGGCGUUCCUCGCAGAAGAAGCACCGGCUAACUCCGUGCCAGCAGCCGCGGUAAUUC